UACGUAGGGGGCUAGCGUUGUCCGGAAUCAUUGGGCGUAAAGCGCGUGUAGGCGGUUCGGUAAGUCCGCUGUGAAAGUCGGGGGCUCAACCCUCGGAUGCCGGUGGAUACUGUCGGGCUUGAGUACGGAAGAGGCGAGUGGAAUUCCUGGUGUAGCGGUGAAAUGCGUAGAUAUCUGGAGGAACACCGGUGGCGAAGGCAGCCCCCUGGGUCAAGAUUGACGCUCAUGCACGAAAGCGUGGGGAGCAAACAGG
rnacentral:rRNA from 1 species